rnacentral:rRNA from 1 species
AACGAACGCUGGCGGCAGGCUUAACACAUGCAAGUCGAGCGCCCCGCAAGGGGAGCGGCAGACGAGUGAGUAACGCGUGGGAACGUACCCUUUACUACGGAAUAGCUCCGGGAAACUGGAAUUAAUACCGUAUGUGCCCUUCGGGGGAAAGAUUUAUCGGUAAAGGAUCGGCCCGCGUUGGAUUAGCUAGUUGGUGGGGUAAUGGCCUACCAAGGCGACGAUCCAUAGCUGGUCUGAGAGGAUGAUCAGCCACAUUGGGACUGAGACACGGCCCAAACUCCUACGGGAGGCAGCAGUGGGGAAUAUUGGACAAUGGGCGCAAGCCUGAUCCAGCCAUGCCGCGUGUGUGAUGAAGGCCUUAGGGUUGUACAGCACUUUCACCGAUGAAGAUAAUGACGGUAGUCGGAGAAGAAGCCCCGGCUAACCUCGUGCCAGCCGCCGCGGUAAGAC